CCACAGCAGUGACAGCACCAGAUCCUUAACCCACUAAUCCACCAGGGAACUCCACUGGGAACUCUUUUUGCCAAGUAUCUCUUGCUGCCAGCCCCACUCCUCUCCAGGAUCUGCACUGUUUUCCUUCUGGACUUCAACGGGCUCUACCAAGUCUCGCAACUGCUCUCAUAGAAUUAAUUCCUCCCGCGCCCAACGUCUUCUCCACGGAAUCAUCAGAAUUCCCUUUCUGCAACCACCUGGGAUCAUAUCAGUCUAUGUUCAAAGCAGCUGGUGGUCCCCAAAUUCAUAAGGCUGGUACCUGGGGGGCCUGUCCCCAUAGCCCUGCUUCAUUUAUGCUCGCCCCACCCAUCUGAGCUUCUUGCCCUGGAAAUUCCACACUGUUCCUUGACUCCAAGCCUUGGCAUAUGCUAAGCCUUCUGCCUGGCACAGAAUUCUCAGAAGGCUUGUCACUUGCCAGGGAGCCCUAACAGAGUGGUCUGAAGUUCAGGAAAAAGAAGAAAAGCAAAGGAAGAAGGGAAGAGGGCAGACAGCGGAGGAUUUGCUGCAGUUGGGUUUUCAAGAACAAAAAAUACACAUAGGGGAGGCAUGGGAUCCUUCCUUCCCAAACAUAUUUCCUUUUGGCCUGAGAUGUUACAAGACUCCAAAUUGGAGCUUGUCUUGUCUCCUCCAAAAAAAAAAAAAAAAAGAAAAGACCUGUCUCACUGGCUCCUUGCAGAGGUAGAUUUAUAAACCAAAGAAGAUGGGUAUAUAUACACAAUGGAAUAUCACUCAGCCGUUAAAAGGAAAGAAAUAAUGGCACUUUUAGCAACAUGGAUGGACCUAGAAAUUAUCAUGCUAAGUGAAGUCCGUCAGACAAUGAGACACCAACAUCAAAUGCUAUCAUCUACAUGUGGACUCUAAAAAAAGGACACAAGGAACUUCUUUGCAGAACAGAUACUGACUCACAGACUUUGAAAAAUUUACAGUUUUCAAAUGAGACAGGCUGGGGGGUGGGGGGAUGGACUGAGGGUUUGGGAUGGACAUGCUAUAAAAUUUGGUUGUGAUGAUUGUUGUACACCUGUAAAUGUAAUACAAGUCAUUAAGUAAUAAAAAUAAAUCUAUGCAGAAUCUAUAAAUAAAU
rnacentral:lncRNA from 1 species